rnacentral:tRNA from 1 species
AAUGGAUAUUCCUCUUUAGA